rnacentral:snoRNA from 1 species
CCCUCCGCAGAUAGGAUCAUUUCUAUAGUGUACAUCCUCUUUUGAAUUCUUUAAAAGAGCCACAUAUCCAAUCCUGGCUGAUGACUGGGCUGGUCUGCUCGUAUAACCUCGCUGCCACAGAGUGAAGCCGAUUUAUGUUACCCGUCGACUUCGGUCGAUGAGGUGGUGAUGAUCUCGACCCACUUGCUUGACUUUGUCUCCUCGGAGCGAAUGAUCGCACUUCGGGUUGGUGGCGAUGGUGGUCUGACAGGU